AGUGAACGCUGGCGGUAGGCCUAACACAUGCAAGUCGAACGGCAGCACAGUAAGAGCUUGCUCUUACGGGUGGCGAGUGGCGGACGGGUGAGGAAUACAUCGGAAUCUACUUUUUCGUGGGGGAUAACGUAGGGAAACUUACGCUAAUACCGCAUACGACCUACGGGUGAAAGCAGGGGAUCUUCGGACCUUGCGCGAUUGAAUGAGCCGAUGUCGGAUUAGCUAGUUGGCGGGGUAAAGGCCCACCAAGGCGACGAUCCGUAGCUGGACUGAGAGGAUGAUCAGCCACACUGGAACUGAGACACGGUCCAGGCUCCUACGGGAGGCAGCAGUGGGGAAUAUUGGACAAUGGGCGCAAGCCUGAUCCAGCCAUACCGCGUGGGUGAAGAAGGCCUUCGGGUUGUAAAGCCCUUUUGUUGGGAAAGAAAAGCAGCAUGUUAAUACCCCGCUGUUCUGACGGUACCCAAAGAAUAAGCACCGGCUAACUUCGUG
rnacentral:rRNA from 1 species